AGGAGGAAAUUAAAGCAUUCAUCAAGGGCCUCCGAGAGACACUGACUCAGGGAAGGGUGGAGGAGCAGAUUGAAUCCACCGCAGGAGACCAAGAACAAAAAUUGCUCUGUCUCCCGAAACCUUGGUGCUACACACACAAAAGCCUUGAUGAGUUCUUUUCCUACCUAAGAGAAGGGGAAGUUGUGAAAAUUAAUAAAACAGCUGAAUUUCUCAUCUGAAUCAAAGCACCAGGGAGCGUGGGAUGGUGAGGUAUGGAAAUCCAUACCAGUUUGCUGAGGGACACGGGUCUGGACACCACAGUUUGAAUGACGCUGCUCUACGGCAUACAAAUAAAUACAAAAUUCUUGCUCUCAGGAAGCUUACAAACCUUCCAUCAAACUAAUACCCAUGAAAACAUGUUCACUCUAAAGCAAAGCAAUCGUGAUAUCAACUUAUAAGACAGAAAUGAUUAAUUACAAAGUGAACUAAUAAAUAAUACAAGUUAGCAGUUUAAGAAAGGAAGCCAUUUGGGCAAACCAGAAAGGAAACUAGGUUGUGAGAUGGAGCAGAAGGCAGGUGUGUGGCAGGGAGAGACCAUGUACAGGGUCCUGAAGUCUGUUAAAGACACGAUAGUCACAUCUCACCCCCAAGAUGGUAAAACGUGAGGUAAUGCAUGUGUUAAUUAGCUUGAUUUAGUCAUUUCAUAAGAGAUACAUAUUUCAAAGCAACAUAUUGUGUACAAUAAACAUAUACAAUUUUUUAUUUGUCAAUUAAAAAAAUUUAAAUGACCCCAAAAGCUUGCCAAAAAAAAAAAAAAAAGAUCAAGAUAGUUACAGAGAAGUCAGAAGUACAUGAACAAAGGCAGAGAGAACUUUCUUUGUGAAUUUAAGGGACAGUAAGCAGAACUGUUUGGUAGGAAAGGAGACCUGGUUCAGAAAAGUAAUGGGAAAGGACAGGUCAGGGUCAGAAUGUAGAAUACCAUUUCAAAUGUUUGUGUGUAUAUGUGUAGAUAAACAGGUAUUGGUGUAGAGACAUAGGUAUGAAUAGAAUCCUCAUUAAUAAAUCUCAAGGUAAUAACACAUUAGGUUUUUAAAA